UUCAACGUUCCCACCAAAGAUUUUUGACCUGUGAUUUUUGAAGACGCAUGUUUUCCCUCCGGCGUCACUCACUAUCGCUGGGUCUCUACUAUCUACUCUCCGUUAGCUGUUUAGGGUUUUCAACUUCUCAAUUCCAAAACUCACAGAUUCAAAAUCUCUAUUUAAACCAGGUUUUCGUUACUGCAUUGCUGUUAAAAGCAUGGAUCGAAAUGAAUGUGACGGCCAUAAACAAAAUGUAUUGGAUGAUGAGCAUGAAAAGUUUCAUGGAGUUGAGAAAUCAACUUCCCCUCAAAAACCUGGUAUUGUUGGCAAACAGAAUUUGGAAACUAAGUUUGCUUCUCAGACUCCAGAGAAAACAAAUCAGCCUUUAAAUGCCAAAUCUAAAGAGGGAGAAGCUGAACUUCUACAAAGACACAAAGCCAUGGUAGAACUCUUUGAUGGUAUGAGUUCUUCACUAAGAUUGCUUGGUCUGCGUAAAAAGUCCCCUACUUUUCAAAACAUCCGUACUCAGGUUGAAGUGCUGACAGGAAGGAAGUUCUCCUUCGGGCAGCUUGCACAGCUAAAAUAUUUACUUUCUGAAGCCAUACAAAUAGAUAAAAUCCUUGUGUAUGACAAGACAACUCUUUGUAUGAAGCCAGAUAUGAAAAUAACGAUGCUGUUUGAUGUGAUAGAGGGCCACAAUGAACAGUCUGAUUUUAUUGCUUUGCACCAACUAUUUGCUUCUAGACUUAUUAAUUACUUUACUGCAACUCCUGAGACCUGUGACAUACCAGAGGCUAUGUUGCCAGAUCCAUUUUGGAAAAGCAAAGAGACUGCUUCUGGAGGCAAGAUCAGUGCAGAUAUCAUAAUUCACGAGCAUGUUAGCCAAAUAAGUGAAAGCACUGCUCCAGAGAAAUCGCUUGCAAAUUCUUCAACAGGAGACCUACAAAUUACAUUUGAGAAUGAAAUGUUGUCAAAGUCAUCCCAUAUGCAUUCAUCUUUCAUCAGGCACUUCUCUGAGACGGUUGUGACUGACGAAGAGAAGACCCAACUAUUAGCUUCUUCAGUUCCUUUGUCAUUCAUGGCACCUUAUAGUUUGAAGAAUCAAGAUGUUAAAGUUGAGAAAACAAGAGAAUUUCCUGAUCUGAGUUCCAAUUUUGGUACUGGGACCAAUCUGGACAUCAAAUAUGAGAAAGUAGAAGAGUCUCCUAGCACAAAUUCCAAAUCUACCUCACAUGUUCAAACAAGCAAUCCUCAAUUCUGUGUUAGUAAUGCUUGCGCAAGCCCCCUAUACAAGCUUGCCUCAUCUGCUGAUAACUUAAUGGUAGAAACACCUGCACAGUCAACUCCGAAAAGGGUAACACCAAAUAGUGAUGAUAACCAUAAGGGGAAAGCCAGCCAAAAUCAGGCAGCAUAUUGUAAGGCUGCAAAGAGGUCUUUAGACUUUUCAUUCUUUGAAGACGGUGAGUCAGAGUUCUGUGAAUUUUUACCAGAAAACAUCUCUCAGACUCUGGAUGUUACUCCUGUGAAACUUCAAGAGGUAAAGGGACUAGGUUGUGCUGCUGAGGAACAUGAAACGAAUCAACCAGAUGUUUUGCAUCAGCAGACUUCUACUUACUUGCCGGGCCUAGUUUCUUUGAUUCACCACAUAUUCCAGUCUGUGAACUAUUGUCCAAUCACAAAGGAGGAACUUGUGCAUAAGAUAAUCAUAAACAGUUUUGAUUUUGAAGAAAAAAGGCAAGUUGAAGAGCAGAUUGAGAUUCUUGAACGGCUGGUUCCAGAUUGGAUUUGCAUAAAGCUUGCACCUGCGGGAGAUGUGUUGUACAGGUGGAUGUACCAUAUUUCCUUAUAAUCUUCAUCGAGAAAUUGUCAGAUUUGAACUCUGUGAAGUCCAGGGUUGUUGUCACAUAAAAAAUCUUAAAGGGGUAUCAUUGAUUAUGCCUGCAGAUAGCUGGUAACAGGUUGAUGAAUUUUAAAAUCUGGUUACCUAUCUAAUGCCAGGCUAGCUUCAUCUUUAUCACAAGCUUCUUUGCUUGGAUGCAAUUGUAUGGGAUUUUUUUAAAAAUCUUACUUUCAACUUAAACCCUGAUUUAAAUGUUCCUCUUUUUUUUUUCCUUUUUUUUUUUUUCUUUCAAUUUGUUGUGGAUUACUGAUAAGUGAAAUUUAUAGAUUUUACAAGGAAGACUACAUACAUCAACCCUCUUUGGAGCCUAUGGAUGUUGGAAUGUUUGGUUUAUUGAGUUAUACAUGCAUAUACACAGCGAAAAUUUGAAUUUU